CCCUUAGAUGUUCUGGGCUGCACGCGCGCUACACUGGUGCGUUCAGCGAGUUUAGCACCUUAACAGAUAUGUUUGGGUAAUCUUCUGAAAACGCACCGUGAUGGGGAUCGAUUAUUGUAAUUAUUAAUCGUCAACGAGGAAUUCCUAGUAAGUGUGAAUCAUCAGUUCGCGCUGAUUACGUCCCUGCCCUUUGUACACACCGCCCGUCGCACCUACCGAUUGAAUGGUUCGGUGAAGAUCUCGGACUUCGAUAUUUAUUCUUUAUUGAGUUUAUAUUGUGGGAAGUUAUCUAAACCUCAUCAUUUAGAGGAAGGUGAAGUCGUAACA
rnacentral:rRNA from 1 species